AUGGCCCUAAAUCAAGGCCGGCAGUUUUCUGAAGCAAUUGGCUUCAAGCAGGAACCUAAAAUGGUAGCUUUCUAUGGUCUGUUUCCACUUCAGAACUGAAGAAAUGUAGUGGUCAAUUCAUAGAAAGAAACAACU
ensembl:snoRNA